rnacentral:lncRNA from 1 species
ACCGCGGGCUCCGGACGGCGAGUUGGCGGUGGCUUCUCGCGCGCGGCCGCUUCGGCUCACCUGGGCGCCCGCUCCCAGCCCCGAAACUCGUCCCCCCGUAACUCCGCUCAGACCGGCCGGUCCCGGCGGGAGGCGCGGCCGCCCCAGCGCCCGGGGGUCGUUCCCUCGCCUCCUCCGGGCGGCGGGAAGGAAGAGGCGGCGGCGGCCGGAGUCGGGGCGGGCGGCCUGAGGUGAGAGCCCGGCCGGCCCCGCUGGGA